CAGAUAAACAUCAUCUUUGCCAAGUGGCAACUGCAAAAGUUUAAGGGUUUUGAUCGGGACUAGAGGAGAUUGCGAAAGUGAAGGGAUGAAGAUUUUAUAAUGUAUAUUUAUAAUUAAUAAUGAACAAAGAGAAAGAGACAGAAAGAGGAACAGAAGGAGGAGGAAGAAAAAGAGAAGAGAGGGAGAGAAAGAGAACAAGUAAACACUUGUUACAGAGAGAGACAAUUAAGAAAAUUUACUUGAUUUUAAAAUUUAUAAAGAAACAAAGAACUGGGCAAUUCCAGCUAUUCAGGAGAUUGCAACAGAAGGAUCGCAAGUUCAAGGCCAGCCUGGACAAUUUAGUGAGAAUCUGACUCAGCACAGGGACACAGCCACAUCAAUGUUUAUAGCAGCACAAUUCACAAUAGCUAAACUGUGGAACCAACCUAGAUGCCCUUCAGUAGAUGAAUGGAUAAAGAAAAUGUGGUAUAUAUACACCAUGGAAUAUUAUUCAGCAAUAAAAGAGAAUAAAAUCAUGGCAUUUGCAGGUAAAUGGAUGGAGUUGGAGAAUAUAAUGCAACAUGUUGGGAGAAGGUGCAGACAAAGUGAAGAAGUGAUGAUGUUUCUGGUAAACAAUGCACGUGUCCAUUGCCUCUAAAGAUGACAAGUCAAGUUCUGCACAGUGGCACACACCUGUAAUCCCAGCCUCCCAGGAGGCUGAAGCAGGAGGAUCAGAAACCCAAAGCCAGCCUCAGCAACUUAGAGAAGUCCUGUCUCAAAAUAAAAAAAUAAAAAGAGCUGGAGAUGUAGCUCA